AUCCAGAUGAUAAGUCCCAAACAGGACGAUAUACGCAUCCUGGAU
rfam:Trichobilharzia regenti genome assembly, scaffold: TRE_scaffold0044856